UUCCAUCAAUUUUAGAGCGUAAUUCACGAAGCAAUCACCGAUUUCCUUCCAGAAGACUUGACGUAAAACGCACGUCGUGGAUUUCAGAGGCUCCGACAUGAGAUGGUAGCUGCUCGCACCACUGUGACCGCUGGUAGGACUUUCUAUUUCUCAUCAGACUCACACUUCAAUCAUCCAAAGACAGAGUUAUAGAAAGAAUUAGUUUUCGUAGGUUCUCCUUUAAUCGUUGAUUUCGCUCUUCCCAGAUUUGCCAUGAAAUGACCACCAUGUUACACCAGUAUAAGCCUGUAAACCUCAAUAUUUCGAUAUUAUAGUGAUGAAAUUGAAAGAGAUUGCAAAUUUGCAAUGUUUUCGAAAUCCAUGACUUGCGGCAUUAAUUGUAUAGCAUUCUCUACAAUUUCCACGAACUUUUGUAGAUCCACCUGGAGUAAGCACAAUUAAAAAAAGAUGUGAUUAUUCUGCUUGUGGACAACAAAGAAAAUAUAUAUCGUCGAUGACAUUUGUAUCAUUAAUCUGAGGUCGAUCUAGAGGUGGUAAUUUCCUCAAACGUAGAAAUUGAUUUUGGGGAUUAUGCACGCCCAAACACUUUCUGUAUAUAUGUAUCGAUCCUUCAACCUUUUUAAUUGUAUUGUGC
rnacentral:lncRNA from 1 species